UGCUAACUCCCUCCGUCCGAAAAAGCUUGUCCCUCAAAUGGAUGUAUCUAGCACCAAGUUAGUGCUAGAUACAUCCAUAGCUUGGGACAAGCUUUUCCGGACAGAGGGAGUACUAU
rfam:Triticum aestivum genome assembly, contig: Triticum_aestivum_CS42_TGACv1_scaffold_513984_6BS